rnacentral:rRNA from 1 species
CGGCUACCACAUCCAAGGAAGGCAGCAGGCACGCAAAUUACCCACUCCCGGCACGGGGAGGUAGUGACAAAAAAUAACGAUACGGGACUCAUCCGAGGCCCCGUAAUCGGAAUGAGAACACCCUAAAUCCUUUAACGAGGAUCUAUUGGAGGGCAAGUCUGGUGCCAGCAGCCGCGGUAAUUCCAGCUCCAAUAGCGAAAAAGCUCGUAGUUGGUUCUGCGUGCCACGCUGUCGGUUCACCGCCUGCCGGUGCAACUGGCAUGCCGUGGCAUGUCCUGUCGGUGGCGGAUGGGCUCGCGGGUCACCCUAUGCGGCAUACCAACGUGUAGGUCGUCGUCCUGCGAUGUUCUGUUCGCCGGCUCAAUCCUACCGCGGUGCUCUUUACCGAGUGUCGAGGUAGGCCGACACUGUUUACUUUGAACAAAUUAGAGUGCUUAAAGCAGGCUCUUAAAUCAGCCUGAAUAGUGGUGCAUGGAAUAAUGGAACAGGACCUUGGUUCUAUUUUGUUGGUUUUCGGAAUCCAAGGUAAUGAUCAAUAAGGACAGGCGGGGGCAUUCGUAUUGCGGCGUUAGACUUGGCAAAUGCUUUCGCGGUGAAAUUCUUGGAUCGUCGCAAGACGCACUAGAGCGAAAGCAUUUGCCAAGUAUGUCUUAAUUGAUCAAGAACGAAAGUUAGAGGUUCGAAGGCGAUCAGAUACCGCCCUAGUUCUAACCAUAAACGAUGCCAGCCAGUGAUCCGCCGAUGUUCCUCCGAUGACUCGGCGGGGAGCUUUCCCCGGGAAACCAAAGCUUUUGGGUUCCGGGGGAAGUAUGGUUGCAAAGCUGAAACUUAAAGGAAUUGACGGAAGGGCACCACCAGGAGUGGAGCCUGCGGCUUAAUUUGACUCAACACGGGAAACCUCACCAGGCCCGGACAUUGGAAGGAUUGACAGAUCGAUAGCUCUUUCUCGAUUCAGUGGGUAGUGGUGCAUGGCCGUUCUUAGUUGGUGGACUGAUUUGUCUGGUUAAUUCCGAUAACGAACGAGACUCUAACCUAUUAACUAGGCGUUUCCGGUAUACAAAUCUACCGGCGAGAUUUAUUCUUCUU